ensembl:snRNA U6 U6 spliceosomal RNA
GUGUUUGCUUCAGCAGCACAUACACUAAAAUUGGAACGAUGCAGAGAUCAGCAUGGCCCCUGCACAAGGAUGACACGCAAAUCCGUGAAGCGUUCCAUAUUUCU